rnacentral:tRNA from 1 species
GUGGUUGUGGCUCAGAGGUAGAGCACUCACCUAGCAUGUGUGAGGCACUGGGUUGGAUCCUCAGCACCACA